rnacentral:rRNA from 1 species
GUGGGGAAUAUUCCGCAAUGGACGAAAGUCUGACGGAGCAACGCCGCGUGAGUGAUGAAGGUUUUCGGACUGUAAAGCUCUGUUGUUCAGGACGAAAGUGCCUGUUGCGAACAGUUACAGGUAUUGACGGUACUGAACGAGGAAGCCACGGCUAACUACGUGCCAGCAGCCGCGGUAAUACGUAGGUGGCAAGCGUUGUCCGGAAUUAUUGGGCGUAAAGAGCAUGUAGGCGGGAAUCUAAGUCUGUUGUGAAAAUGCGGGGCUCAACCCCGUAUGGCGAUGGAAACUGGAUUUCUUGAGUGCAGGAGAGGAAAGGGGAAUUCCCAGUGUAGCGGUGAAAUGCGUAGAUAUUGGGAGGAACACCAGUGGCGAAGGCGCCUUUCUGGACUGUGUCUGACGCUGAGAUGCGAAAGCCAGGGUAGCGAACGGGAUUAGAAACCCUGGUAGUCC